GCUGGGUGUGGUGAUGCACACCUGUAGUCCCAGCUACUUGGGAAGCUGAGGCAGGAGAAUUGCUUGAACCUGGGAGGCAGAGGUUGCAGUGAGCUGAGAUCUCACCAUUGCACUCCAGCCUGGGCAACAGAGCAAGACUCUGUCUCUC
rnacentral:SRP_RNA from 2 species